CCUCUCUCGGACUUAGCCACGCCCUUCAUUAAUUACUGAGGGGAUUUUUCAGAACAGAGGUUAUGGCAGUUUCACAUCGAAUUCCAUUUUUAGCAGGUGUGCUUCCUGACCAAAGAAGUCAGAUGAGUGCAUGAGCAGCCCCUUCAAAGACAAGGCUUGGAUUCCCAGGAGCAGACAAGGAACUCUGUGGACAUACUCCAAGGAAACUGGUGAGAACCGCAGCCAGCAUUUUGGAUCUUUGCAAAUUUGCCUAAGUGUACAUUGAAAGAAGAAACCUCUAAUCUGGCAACUAGUGCUACAUUCCUUAAGGAGAGCACAGCUCUGCCUGCUUCAACCUCAAGCUUAGCUAUGGAGAAGCUUCCCCCCGGGACUGUAUCUUGGCACCUAACUCAGGACCACUUUACCUCACCUUGAGAGAUAGGCUACCAUCCACCCCAAAAUAGACAAAACUUCCAUCCACCCCACGACAGAGCUGGGGUUAGAGCAGCAAGUUUCAGGCUCUGGAGCACACCAAGAAUGCACACUCUAGUGUUUGUGGGCUGCAGGCAGAACUGAGCAGAGGUUUCUGUUGGCUUCCAUUUGGAGGACUGGGGUAAAAGAGUUGGCUCCAGUUCUCCUCCGUUUGUAGGUAGCUGGUUCCUCUUGGUGCCCUGUGGUCAUUGUCUGCCCCCUUCAAGUGUCUGUGACUUUAAGGUUCCUUUCAUAAGGACACCAAUGUCAUUACAAGAGAGCCCACCUUUCAAGUUUCCUUGAAUGGAUCACCUGGAGGGCAUUGUCUCUAAGUGUCACCUACUAAGUGUCAGGGACUUCAUCCUUCACCAUAUUAAUUGGGUUACAACUUGUCCAAGUGAAGGUAGUGAUGAGAGACUCAUAGGGUCAGAGCAUACCUGACAGAACUAUCUCACCAUGCCCCAUUCUAAUUGGACCAGACUUUGUAAAUGUGUCCCAGGUCUUUCUGGCACUGCUGUCCAUCAUUUUUCUCACAGUAUAGCUCUGUCAUUUACGGGGGAAAACUGAACAAAAGGCAUCUCAUCAGAAAGGAAGAACAAGGCAGUCAACUUGUAGAUGGAAUACUGUUAUAAAUGGCAGAGACCCUAAGGAAUCUGCUAAAGUUUAGUACUGAACAGUGAGUUAUACAAGACCAAUGAAUAUAAGCUCUGUCAGCAGAAAUAAAGCAUUUCUAUAUCCUAGCAGUAAACAAAACAAAAUAGGGGAAAAUUUCUAUGUCGUUCACCUACUUUUAUAAAAAUCAAAAAUAUUUUGUAAAUAAUUUGGCCAAACACACACUAAACUUUUAACUAUAGCUUCUAUUAUUGUUUGAAAUCUAGGAAGUAAGUAAAUUUCAUCAAAAUAUUGCAGAAUAAUUCAUAAUCACCUGAAUACAUUUAGAAAUCAACAGUAUAUAACUCAGAGGUUUUCAUUACUCAGUAUAUAACUCAGAGGUUUUCAAACUCAUAUCGUGGGUUCUCUUUACCAAUCAGAGGUUAGAAGUGCAGAUAAUGCUGUCUCCAGGUAGUCACACAUACUCUGUGAGAAGAUUUAGAGAGUUAAUUCUCUAACAGGAGGGUCGGCAUCCCAAUCUGGAGACAGAAUUCCCUUCAAGAGGGUCUAAAUCACCUGCAGAUAUGAGUAGCCCCCUCAGAGGAAGGACUGAAUCUCCUGCAGGCGAGAAUGACAAAAAUGAGAGGAUCCAUAGGAGGAGGGACUUACUUUCUUCUCUGAUGGGACUGGAGCACCAGCAGGAAUUUGACUCUGUAGUCUGAGAGAUUAUUUUCAGUAUGAUGUUCUGAGUUCCCUGAAUCCACAGCUGGAGCACUGAGCCACCAUCAGGAACACUGCACCUGGACCAGUUGUCUAAGGGAAUUAAAUACGAAUUUCACUUCUUUGGCUUAUAAAAUCCCACCAUGCUCUAGCUUCCUUACAACAUCCACCCUUCAUUGCCCACCAUCUCAGCUUCUCAAUAAAUCCUUCCUCUGCUUGAUUUUCCAAACCACCUAUGUCUUAUGAGCCCCUACACACACACACACACACACACACACACACACACACACACACACACACACACACGCACACCUGGCUUUGAAGGGAUCAGAUUUUGAUUUUUAAUGCUGAAAUGUUUCUAUGACUUUCUCUGUAAACUCUGCUUCCCAGCUACUUUCCACGGCACCUUACUGACCGAAAGAUAAAAGAGUCUCAAGUGUGAAGCUUGCUUCCCUGGUAGUCCUCAGGUCUGUUGCUGAUGGGCUCAGAGCCAUGGGGUGUGUGGGUAGCUGGCCGGGCCUUGCUGAGGCCGACUUGUCUUGUCUCUGUAGUAUGUGAUGGAGUCUUCACAACCUGACUGUUGACUUUCUCCUUGCUGAGACUGUUUCUACCAUUUCUUGUUCUCUGUUCAUUAAUGGUGUUUCAGUGUGAGCAGGUAAAUGCUGUUUUGAUGCAUUUUUUUGGAUCCUGGCUGCAGGUUAAAGAAAAAAAGGUAGUUGAACUGGAAACAGAAAAUGCUGUUCUGUCCCUGAGAUUGGCAUAGGUAAUCUCUGUCCUGUGGACUGAUUGACUGAUGAGACACAUGUGAGUAUUUGCUUUGCAUAGGCUACUGCAGUUGCAAAAGAUUAAAAGAACCGUAGCUUUCCUUUGAUGGUUGGUCCCCUCCAGUGUGGUGCACAUUUGGUGAGUCAUCCACUAGUGGAACUGAGAUUAAUCCUAAAUUUUUCAUCCUCGUGCUCAGAAGUAUUUAAGGAAUAAUCCAUUAAUGAUACAUCCAACAGUUGGGUCUAGACAACUUUGUUGUACUGUUUAUGCAUGAUGAAUUCAUCCAUAUUAAUUUUAAUUAAUCUAUAGAUAUAGUAGUCACCUCCAACACCCAAAGACUUGGUCUAAAUACGUGCAAACUCAGGUGAUGAGAUAUGGUUUCUCAGACACCCCCACAGCAUGCCACACUGCAGGGUGGAUGCUGCACAGUUCAGAUGCAGACGUUUCCAGUUUGGCUUGGUGUUCAGUGUACCCUUCAUCUUCUCACAGGCUCUUCUGACACUCUUCUUACAGAACCUCCACUGACACUCCAGUUGUUUAUUUUCCUUGGAUUUUUGUUUUGAAGUGUAGUGCUCUUUUUUCAGGGUCCCAAUUCUUGAAGGCAUUGCAUCCCCUGAAGAUAAACAGUCUGCCUUGUCUUAAAUUGGUACCUGGUGUGUGUGUGUGUGUGUGUGUGUGUGUGUGUGUGUGUGUGUGUAGCCACAUAUUUCAUGAUCCUACCCAUAGCUGCAUAGCUGACCCACUCAGAACACAUGCAGGAUAUGGGAACAAGAAAUAAAAAGAAAGGAGUAAAAUGCUAGGUGUAAGGCAGUUGGGAGCAGAGCAUCAGGAGGAAGAGUCCAGAGUCCCGGGAGGCAGGGUGUGAAAGUACAGCAGCAGCUUAAAGGGAUGCCAGAUCUUAGGGUGUGGGGAUCAGGUGUGUUAGGAGCACAGGAAGAAGUUGAAUGUGAUGAGCUUUCAAGUUUAACUACUGUCUGAUCUCUGCAGUGCCAUCCCUGGAAAAGUGAUGUAAGUAGUCCCUAGUGCCCUAGUCAAAUCACAGACACUUUCACUGUCAGAUCCCAGUGUGUUGGGGACCCCUACCCUGGGAAGUCCUCAGGGGUGUAAGGAGCAUGCACUGGUUUCCUUUGUGCUGUACUCACCAUGAGUGAGGAAAUAUGUGUCUGUACCUCUUCUGGAAGCAGAGAGAGUAAACAUGGGUGACACUCCUAAUAGCCUGUCUGUAUAAAUUUUUGGCUUCAGUGGUGUUAGCUCUAUGGCUCAAAGAUCUAAUCUAACAAAUCCUAAUAUUGCACCGACUAUGGAAAUAUGAAAGCAGUUAACUGAAAUACAUACUCUGCUAUUCUGAAUUUGAAACAGGCUUCAACCUGACACUCUUCCUCCUUACCCUCCCCAGACUUCUUACUUUUGUCUACAUACAUUCCUAGUGGCAUCUCUGAGGACCCAAUUCUGACUUGUGACUGGGCCUGGGUCAUGCUCAUGGGUUGGGGAAGUAACAGAUGACUACACUGGGGCCCUGUAUCCAUGUAGAAAAUGAAGUUCCACAGCUCAUGAUUAUAACUCUGGAUACAGAACCCAUUGCAAGAGAUCCUCAGCUGAAAUCCCGGAACUCACGAGGGACUAAAGACCACUGACUUGCAACAUGAUGUUCAUCUUUCUAAACCUCUCAACAUUUCACCAAAUAACCAGUAAUCUAGAGUACCCCAGCACACACUGAGAAGUGUAGAGAGAAAGAAUUUCAUGUCUAUGUUCCUCUGCGCAUGAGAAAGAAGUUUCAGGAGGGUAAAUGGAUUUUGAGGGUAAGUUUCUCUUUUAUAAACACCAUUCUCUCUCUCUCUCUCUCUCUCUCUCUCUCUCUCUCUCUCUCUCUCUCUCACCAGUUUAAAAUUAUUUAUUUUUAUUUCACAUGCAUUUGUAUUUUACCUGGAUGUGCAUCUGUGUGUGGCUGUCAGAUAUCUUAGGAAUUUUGCUGUGUGGGGGCAAUUCCAGUUAAAAUAGUCAGAACAAAGAGGAAAUGCAACAUCAACAGUAGCAAUCAGGUCCCUCUCCUUAGUACCUUGUGGAUGUACCUGACCUUGGGGCUACAGUCUUUGUGAAUGCAUGCCAUGCAUGCACUGAACUACAGCUGUGAUGCUGGUGUCCUAUGGCUUCCAGAGCAGCUGCAUCUUGCCUUGUCUACAGAAUACCUGCAUCCAGCCUUGUCUCCAGGCAUGCAUGCUGAGGAAGAAACCUUAGCCACAUGUAAACAACAUGGGAUUUGUAAGUACACAAAGAAUAUGAUUUCCUAUGAAAUCUCCAUUAUAAAAGGAGGGUAGCAUGAAGGAGAGAGAUGCUAUAGACUAGGACUCCAGUUACACAGUGGUUUCCAUAUGGAUUUGUCAGACAUGACUAGGAAGGGUGCUGGGAACCUGUGCAGACUUGGACAAACACAGCUCUUAUAUUAAAACAGAGGUAACAUUUUCAGGUACCAUAAAAUGUAAGACUAACAUUCAUAUGUGGUUCUUUGGACCAUCAUAAGUAUAACCCAGGAAGAGUUCAGGGGCAUCAAAAGUGUUAGCACCGUAGUACAGGUUCAGCAUUUGCUCUGGUUUGUCUUGGGUACUAAGGCCAAUGUCGAUGAUUUUGACUUUAUUGUUCUUAUCCACCAUUUUAUUUGUUUUGAAGUCCUGUAUUUAUUCUGUGCCCCUGACAGUAGAUCCAGGCUGCUAAUAUCUGCAUAAGUAUUUCCCAUGCCUUGUCUUUCACUAUGUAGCCAUACUUUCAGAUACAUUUAUGAAGACAUUGAACCUCACACAGCUCCAUGACAAGGUAUCUACUUGUUUUCGUCUCAAUUAUUGAAGAUGAUGUUGGAGUGGUUAACCACAAUUGUCAUCAUUGCCAUGGUCAUUAUUGGAUGGCAUAAGUGCUUCUUCCUCACAAGGACUUGGAAGCCACUGUAGCAGGACAUCCACUCUCUUAGCACCUGCUUUUUCCCCACACCUCCACUGUGAUGACUGUCCAAGCCUAUUUUGUGCUGUGUUGCCUGUGAACUUCCUGCCUUUGCAGAAGGAAGUAGGAUGCCAUGGACUGGUUAUAAUUUUGUUCAGUUGAAGUGUCCUUAGUUUCCAACACUUGGAAUCCUAUAUAUUCCAUUGCUCUUAUACUUACAGGGUCUGGCCUGAGGGGGAUCAGUUGCUCAUAGGGAUUUGGGAACUGCGUCUAGCCUUAGUUGAACUAGGGUUGCAUCAUGACCACAGUGACUUUUGGCCUAUAUCUAGGGUGGACUGUCAUUAGGAGGCUAAGUAGGUCCUUCUGACACCACACCAGAGGCACCACACACUCCUGCUACAACCUGUCUUCUCAACUCUAGAAUGAAGAGAGUCAAAUGGAAACUUUCUGACUACCAUGAAAUAUAAAACUCCACCUAAGGUUCAAAUUUAGUUCUUUGGAACGUCAUAACAUUUACCAAAGAAGAGUUCAGGAACACAAAAAGUAUAAGUACUGCAGUGCUGGUUCAUCAUUUACCCUGAUUGGAAUGGGAUACUAAGGCCAAAGUUGGUAAUUUUGACUUUCCCAUUGAUGUACAACACAAUAUUCUUUGGCUUUAGGUGCCUGUGAAAUAUUGUGUGCCCAUAGCAGUAGCUCAUCACAGCUAUUAUUUACACAAUAUUUUGCUGGCCUUGCCUUGCUCUAGAUAGCCAAACUUUUGGGUGUAUUUGUAAAGCUGUUGCCCUUCAACCAGCUCCAUGAAUAGAUGUAUUGUUUUGGUCUAAAUUACUUGAAGAAUCGAGAUGAUGUUGGGGUGAUCAACCAUCAUCAUCACUUCCAUGGUCAUUGCUGGCUGGUAUUAUUUCUUCUCUAAUACAAGGACUUUGUUGGACACUGUCACAGGAACACCAGUGUGGUAGAAACUCUGUUGUCAAAUCAACUCCACAUUCUCAGGGCCUCCAAAUUGCAGGGCCUCUCCUGGCACAGGACAUACACUUUCCCUGUACUUCUACUCUCACAGAGUCUCAACUUUUCAGGACCUGAACUAUUGUAGGACCUUCACUGUUGCAGAAAAUUGAUUCCCUCAGCAACUAGUAUGUUGCAGGACCUCAGCUCGCAGAGAAGUUCCACUGCCGCAGGACCUGCAAUGUCAAUGUAAAUCUAGAGUCUCAAGACCUCCACUGUUGCUGGAGCUCCAGUGUUGUAGGAUGUCCAAUUUUGCAGGGCCAUCACUGUCAAAGGACCUCCUCUGUCACAGCCUAGACCUUCAUACUUAACUGUAAAUCUAGUGGCAUUCAAGUAGCACCAUGACAAGGUAUUAUCUUGUCUCAGAAUCAAUUAAUUGCGUAGUGAAAUGAAGUUAGAGUGGUCAAAAAUCAUCAUUGUUACAAGCACUUUGAUAUGCACUGUAGCAGGACAUCCACUGUUCCAGUGUGGCUUCUGUCCCAGUACCUCCACUAUCACUGGACCUCCAGUGUCAUAGGACCUUCUCACUAACAGCGGCUGCAUUGUCAGGACCCUCAAUUUUCAGGACAUCUACUGUCACAGUAUGUGCACUGUUGCUGGACUUUCAUUGUCACUGUACCUAAACUGUCACAAGGCCAUCCAAUGUCACAGAGCAGUGUCUCAGCACCUCUACUCUCCCAUGACCCCGCAGUCACAGGACCUCCAAUAACUCAGGAAAUCCAAGUUCCAUUACCUCAACUGGCACAGCGUGUCCACCCACUGAUGUUGGAAUUUCACUGUGGUAGCACCUCAACUAUCACAUGAAGCCCACUAUUGAACGACCUCCACUUUUCAGGACAUCUAUUUCCUCUGACACUAGAAUUGGCAGGACCUUCUCUGUCACAGUACGUCUACUGUCGAAGCACUUCCUCUAUCACAGGACCUCUAGUGCUGCAAGGCUUUCACUAUUAUAGCAUUUCUAUUGUCGCCACACCUCUACUGGCUCUCCUACACCUGUACUGUCCCAUCACCUCCUAGGUCAAAGAUCCUGACUCGUGCAUCAAUUGAAGUUUUUCAAGACCUCCACUGUAGCAGCAUAUCCACUGUCCCAGCUGCUACUCCACUGUCAAAGACCUGAAAUGUCUUAGGAACUCCACUGUUACAGGACCUCAACUGAUGAAGCACCUCAACUGUAACAGUACCUCCACUCUUGCAGUACCUCCAAAAACUCAGCCACUCCACUGUCACAAGUCUUCCAAUUUGAAGGAACUCGACUGUUGCAGCACCUCCACAGUUGUCGAAGCACCAUUGAUAUGGCACUUCCCCUGUCCUGGGACCUCCAUAGCUUCUACUCUAUAUUCUGAGGACCUCAACUGUUGAAGCACAUCCACUGUCCCAGGACCUCCAUUGACAAUGGACCUCAUUGUGUCAGGAACACCACUUUUGCUUGGUCUGUCCCUAAAGCCUCUGGGCUGGCACUAGCUGAGGACAGACUUUCUCCCUACUGAGGCACACCAGGAGAGUAGAUUGGCUUCUGUGUUCUUAUUGCUAUUGUUCUUCUCAGUGAGGCUGAUUAUUUAGUGUAUUCAGGUGACACUGGAAGCAUGCAUGCAUGUUUCUCAAGUGUGGGUGUCAUCUGGAGUGGCCUGAAGAGAGAAGGGCAGCACCAGGUGCUCUUAUGCCUAAUCAUGGAAUAGUUUAUGGCCGCAGGGAAACAGAAAGCCAUUGGAGGAUGAUGAGACCAGUGUGCUUAGGGUGGGGUAGCUUCCACUCCUCUUGAGCCCAAAGGGAAUGAAUCAUUAUCAUCAAGGGUAGGGAAUAACUGAACUCAAUGUGUGAGCCUCUGUUGUUCAGCCUUGCACCUGGAGAACUUGCCAGGACAGUAAGAAACAUGAUCCCAUGGGUUCAUUAUACAUUGUAAUAUCUUAGGCUCUGGACUCAAUAUGUUCCAUGUCGUCCACAAUUACAGGGUCUUGUGUGAUGGAGCUCAGUCCUCAUAGGGAUUUGAGAAAGCCUUCCGGUCUUCCUUUAACCAGCGGUACAUAAUCACAUCGGUGACUGUCAUCCUAUAUUUCAUGUUGAGUAUCAUUAAGAGGCUAAGCAGGUUAUCCAUCUCUUCUAACACCCAACAGGUGGCAGAAUACAAUUGCCACAACAAGUCUUUUCAAAUCUAGUAUGAAUACAGAGUAAAGAUCUUAACUUUUUAAGUACCAUGUAAAACUAAGGUCCAAAUGUCAUUUUGUGGACUAUCAUAAAGUUUGCUGGGCAAGAGUUCAGGAGUUCCAAAAGACAAACCACCACAGUGCCAGUUCAGCAUUGCCCUGGUUCAACUUGUGUUCUAAGGCGAAAGAAAGUCUAUGAUUUUAACUUAUCCAUUUAUGUCCAACAUAUAUGGUUUGAGUUCCGUGUGUACUAUACCGUGCUCAUGGCAUUAGCGCACAGUUGCUCUAAUUUGCCUAAAUAUUUGCCUGACUUUAUCCUCCUCUACCUUACCCCCAUUUUCUGGUGUUUUCAUAAAACUGUUGUCCUUCAAUGAGCUCUUACUUGGGGAAAUAAGAUGCUGUUCAGGUGGUCGACCAUCAUCAUUGUCUCUGACUUGGUCAUGAGUGGCUGGCACCAUGGCUUCUUUAGAAGCAGUUUGAUGGUCAUGGGGCUGCCAGGGAGCUGAUGGUGUGGUAUUGGGACCUUGGUGUUGCUCCUGUGUCCCAUGGUCCUUAAGUCUUUGUAUUGACAGUGGAAGUAUACCUCCUCAGAGAUUCUGCUCAGGUCUAGGGUGUUGUAACUCCUCCUUACUAUGUGUAAGCAUUGUAGUUAAAAACUACAAAUAUUCCCUAGAAAUAACUUAAUAAGAAUAGAAUAAAAAUGAUGAAAAAGA